GCCCCCAUAGCUUAACGGAUAAAGUAUCCCGCUUCGGACGGGACGAUGUGGGUUCAAUUCCUGCUGGGGGCA
rnacentral:tRNA from 1 species